CCCCCUGCUUAGCAGAUGCCACCUGGGGCAGUGACCGGCUUCCUCCCUCACAGCUGCAGCUGGGGACUGGGGGGGGCUCCCAGAGAGGGGUUUUUGUACCAGCCUGUGGCACAGUGUGCUGUGUUCGGCGGAGGGACCAAGCUGACCGUCCUAGGUGGACCCAAGGCCGCCCCCUCGGUCAGUCUGUUCCCACCCUCCUCUGAGGAGCUCCAAGCCAACAAGGCCACACUGGUGUGUCUGAUCAGCGACUUCUACCCGGGCGCCGUCACCGUGGCCUGGAAGGCAGACGGCAGCCCCGUCACCCAGGGCGUGGAGACCACCCAGGCCUUGAAACAGAGCAACAACAAGUACGCGGCCAGCAGCUACCUGAGCCUGUCAGCCGCCCAGUGGAAAGCUCGCAGCAAGUACAGCUGCCAGGUCACGCACGAAGGCAGCACCGUGGAGAAGUCAGUGUCCCCUGCAGAGUGUGCCUAGGCCCCGGCCCCCACCCCACCCUCGGGGCUGGAGCUGCAGGAGCCCAGGGAGGGGUGUCCCCUCCCUCCCAGCUCAUCCCAGCCCCUGCCCUGCACCCAAUGAGCCCUCAAUAAAUAUCCUCGUUGUCAAUCAGAAA